rnacentral:rRNA from 1 species
AUGGCUGCGUCCGCCCCUCUCGCCAGGGUCGCGCUCCUCCUGCUCCUCCUCCAUGCCGCCCACCAUGCUGCCCAUGGAGGAGCCGUGGCCAGGCUUGCUGGCACGGGCGGAGCGAGGAUGGCAUCACCGGAGGGGUAUGCGCCGGUGCAGACCGCGGUGUACCGGCCGGCGGCAUCGGAGGCGUUCGAGCCGUUCCAGCUGUGCAUGGGGUGCCGGUGCUGCCCGGCGGGGAACAACGGCUCGUCAUGCGUGGACACCCAGUGCUGCUACGGCAUCAACUGCAACCUCCCCGGCAAGCCGUUCGGGACCUGCGCCUUCACCCCACGCACCUGCGGCUGCGGCGCCAACAACUGCACGGCUGCACCCGCCCCGCCUUCGAGCUAG